UACGUAGGGUGCAAGCGUUGUCCGGAAUUAUUGGGCGUAAAGAGCUCGUAGGCGGUUUGUCGCGUCGGCUGUGAAAACUCGGGGCUCAACCCCGAGCCUGCAGUCGAUACGGGCAAACUAGAGUGCGGUAGGGGAGAUUGGAACUCCUGGUGUAGCGGUGGAAUGCGCAGAUAUCAGGAGGAACACCGAUGGCGAAGGCAGGUCUCUGGGCAUUAACUGACGCUGAGGAGCGAAAGCGUGGGGAGCGAACAGG
rnacentral:rRNA from 1 species